ensembl:snRNA U6 U6 spliceosomal RNA
GUGCUCACUUCGGCAGCACAUAUACUAAAAUUGGAAAGAUACAGAGAUUAGCACGGCCCCUGCGCAAGGAUGACACACAAAUUCCAGAAAUACACAUCCUACAU